GAAGCCCAUGGGAGUAGGCUCAUCCCAGGAAAUCAGGUAGAGAGGAGCAUGGUGGCUGGACCCUUGGCCCUGCUCUCCCAGGCACCACACCAUCCCCCACCUGGGGAACAGGGAGCACUUAGGUUUGGAAUCCUGGGGAAGAGAAGUUCUAUUUCCGUUGGGCUGUUGAGGCCUGUGACCGGUGGUGGCCAUCUUCUUUCAUCAACGGAAAAACCACUUGAGAAGGACACCAGUACAGAGGGGAGGAAGCCAAGCCAAGAGGCUGGGAGAGCCGAUUCCUGCUGACGGCAUCAAGCACCCAGAAUCAUGCUCACGGGACCACAACGGCCAGUGUCUGGAGCUGCUGCAGGGGAGGCCAGGAGCCUUCACCCGCCCCCGUCCUUGGGGACACCUCCUUCCUUUGGGCCUUGGGGGUCCUAUUCCCUACUUGCACACCAGAGAUCUUUUCCAGAAUACGCAGAGAACCUCGCUCACUUUGGAACAGGAUGCGUCCAUCACCGCCCUUUCCACAUCUCCCUGAAACGCAGCUCGGGUCCUCCUUUCUUUGCAUCAUGGCCUCCGGGGCUGUCGCGGGAGAGACCAGGCAGACGGUCCAUCAACAGCUCCGCACUUGGGGCCCCUGUGAGGCAAGAGCUGCCCACUGGGAAGCGCUGUUCACAAGGGACCUCACACUCCAGCUGAAGGGGCUGUGGAGGCCCCGAGGGCCGGAAGCAGUGCUCAGGCCAAAGUGAUCCCAAAGGCUUCUUGCUGGCUGGGGCCUUCUGGCCAUGCUGGAGGGUGGGGGGGCGAGGUCCCUGCAGUGUCUGAGGACCCACUGUGUGCAGGCUCAGGGUGCACAGAGAAGCAAGGGCAGAAGCCGGCCCCAGAGGUGUUCACAAGCCAAAUAUGGACAAGCCAGCCAGGCAGACAGAGAACCAGAGCUCACGGGCUGUUUUCAUGGGUGAAGGGUGGGGGUCGGGGCAGAGACCCAUGCCUGCUGGGGAACUAGUUAAGGAUAGGGAAUUUUUCACUGAGACUCGAAGGCUGUACCAGUUAGAUAUGUUUGGCUGAAGUAACAGAAAACUUUACUAAGAGUGGCUUAAACUACAAAGGCAUCUAAUGUUUAAUGUUUAAAGAUGAUGUGAGAGAUGGGAAGUCCAGAGGUGGUCUGGUGGCCCAAUAACGUCAUCGGUGACUCAGAUGCCACCCACCUCUCUACUCCACCAUUAACAGAAUGUUAGUGUCACUCCCUCGUGAUUGCAGUGUGGUUGCCUCCACUCCAGCCAUCACAUCUGCAUAGUUAGUGCUCAAGCCAGAAGCAAGAGGGCACCUUCCUCAUUGCCCAUCUCUUUCUUUUCAGGAAGGAAAAUCUCUCACAGAAGCCCCCAUAGACUUCCUCUAAGAUCUCAUUGGCCAGAACAAGUCCCUGUCCCAACCAAUCACCAGAGGUGGGGGAGGGGAAGGGGAGCAGUUGCCAUGACUGGCUUGGACCAGUCAUGAUUCCUCCAAAAUGAGCAUCCCCAGGAGGAAGGCAGGGUGAGGUGGGCAAAGGCUGCUGUGUGAGCAACCAACUCGAUGCUGCCACAAAGGAGAAAUGGACGAGGGAGCUGCGGUUUCCAAGACAAGGGAACAGAAGAGCAGGAGGAACAGCAUACCACGCAGAGGCUGUCAGCUGUACGAGAAUGGCGACCUCUGUGUGCUUCACUCUGCUGUGCCCGGUGUCUGGAGCUGGCCCACAGGCAGUAGGGCCUCAGUGGUGUGCGCUGGGCAAGUGAACACCGCCGACCACAAGCAAGCACAUUUCUGGGAGUUCUCAGUGUUACUGGCUCACUCGCUGUUUAUGGAGCCCCGCUCUGUGCCCUGCCCCGACUUAGGCCGCAGGCACGACGUCAGUGAAGGAGACGAGAAAAUAAACUCUGCUGCCCCCAUGGAGCUGACAUCGCAGAGGGAAACAAAGAGUGAGGAGAGCACAGCAGGCUAUGGCGGGACUCCCUGAAGAAAUGGCAUCUCAGCAACAGCCAAGUUCAGUGGGUGAAGGAGGAGAAGAGGAGCAUUCCAGGCUGAGGGAUGAGCAAAGGCCCUGAGGCAAGAAGGACAUGACCAUUCGAGAAACUGAAAGAAAGCAGGAUUUUCUGGGGGUGCAAAGGUGCGGUGGAAGAGCACUGGCAAGGAAACACGCCUGUACGGUUCCCUGCUCUGGCAUGGCACUAAGCCAAGUCAAUGUGCUAUAUAGUAUUGUGCAUUUUUAUGAUGCUUCCAGAUAUAACUCCCUUGGGAAAAGGGUCCAUGAUUUAUUGAUCUUCCUCUCCUCUCACUCUGCCAGAGCAAUAUCCCACUGCACCUAACUGCCCAAUAUCUGGGGUGAAUGAAGGCGUUCAGCUAAGGGUGCUGAAAGAACAGCUCCUUGGCAUCUCCUGAACUUUGGACCACGACUACAACGUUUCUUCCUUAAUAAUUAAUUCACUUAUAACACAGUUGUUUGAAAUGGGAGGCCCCUCUCCUUUACCUAUCACCCUCUAUUUUCAUAUUGAGCUGUUUGUUUCCUCAUGGCAUUUAUCACCACCUGUCGUUAUAUUUACGGAGUUAAUUGUUCCAGUAUCUGCCUUUUCCAGUACAAUGAGGGCGGGGACUUCACCUUGUCCAGGACUGUAUCCUCAGUGCCCAGGACUGUGUGUUGAAUGAAUGGCUGAUCAGAUGCUGAAAUAUUUAAUACUGAAGAACCCUUCAGCAAGUACAACCUAGAAGUUAGUGUAUUGAUUAUGUUGGUUCAGUAAGAACCUGGGAACAGCUUUCUUGUAC
rnacentral:lncRNA from 1 species